rnacentral:rRNA from 1 species
GGUGACAAACCGGAGGAAGGUGGGGAUGACGUCAAAUCAUCAUGCCCCUUAUGACCUGGGCUACACACGUACUACAAUGGCCGGUACAACGGGAAGCGAAAUCGCGAGGUGGAGCCAAUCCUAGAAAAGCCGGUCUCAGUUCGGAUUGCAGGCUGCAACUCGCCUGCAUGAAGUCGGAAUUGCUAGUAAUCGCGGAUCAGCAUGCCGCGGUGAAUACGUUCCCGGGUCUUGUACACACCGCCCGUCACACCACGAGAGUUUACAACACCCGAAGUCGGUGAGGUAACCGCAAGGAGCCAGCCGCCGAAGGUGGGGUAGAUGAUUGGGGUGAAGUCGUAACAAGGUAGCCGUAUCGGAAGGUGCGGCUGGAUCACCUCCUUUCUAUGGAGA